rnacentral:rRNA from 1 species
UACGUAGGCAGCAAGCGUUGUUCGGAGUUACUGGGCGUAAAGGGUGCGUAGGUGGCGGGGUAAGUCAGGUGUGAAAUCUCGAGGCUCAACCUCGAAACUGCACUUGAUACUGCCUUGCUCGAGUACUGGAGAGGAGAUUGGAAUUUACGGUGUAGCAGUGAAAUGCGUAGAUAUCAGGAGGAACACCUGUGGCGAAAGCGGCUCACUGGACCACAACUGACGCUGAUGCACGAAAGCUAGGGGAGCAAACAGG